rnacentral:lncRNA from 1 species
AGUUGAGCUAGACUCUGGCUUUCACAGGCAGCGAGAUCAAGGGGGGGAGGAAAAGUCUCUCCUUUAAAAAAAAAAAAAAAAAAAAAGCGAUUUAAGCCCCUUUCCAGCGGCGCUUUCAAAACUAGAACUGCGAAGCUGGCUUCGGUUCGCGAUCCUCCUCUCUGGCUCCGGGCUGCGCGCAGAGUCUGGGUGGCGAGCGAAUGGUGCCUGCGAUCUUCUGCCUCGGGGAGCCGGCUGUCUUCCUUGUGCUAAAAAAACGGAGGAAGUCUGUCUGCCACAGGGCAGAGGGUGGUAUCCAAAGGGUCUCCUCUCCUUGAGUGACUGGUUCCUCCAUUGGAUCUCAGCUCGUAGCUCCUGACCUCAAGCAAGUGCUACUGAAGUGGAAAUGUCUUAUAUCCUGUUUUGUGAUUCCCUGCCUCAGAGCUGAGUCACCCCUGCCUGAAGAAAGGAUCCUUCAUCCCAAGGCUCACUCACUUCCUAUCCAAGCCAUCUCAAGCUAAAGGCAAAUGAACCAAGGAACCCCUCCUGCGCCUGGACCUGAAGAUGAAGGGCUAUAAUCCCAGCUUCUCAGGAGGACAAGGCGGGAGGAGUUCCAGGUCACUCUGGGAAAUCUAGAGACUCUCAAAAAAAAAAAAAAAAUCAAAAGGAUUGGAAACUUCAAGGAGUCAUAGUACAAUGGAUAACCUUCUCAGUGCACAUGGGUCCCGUGCCCUAGCACCCAAUAGGUAGAUCUCCUGCUUGUCCGUUCCCUAGCAUCCAAUACUGGCAAGAGAGGCAAAGGCCCCCACCUCCUCUGCCUCUCUCCUUACUCCCUUUCCCGACUCAGAGUCCUAGGUUGGUUAAGAACCCCCUAGCCCCACAGGCAGCUGUCCUUUGCACUUAGCCAAGCAAGGUGGGGUGGGCAUGACCCCCAUUCUGACUUGUACUUCCUCUCUCUGUUGCCAGGCUUCUAGUUGGCAUUGCUCGCCUGCCACUUCCUCCAUUCCAACCGUCUCUCUUCACUCUGAAACCCAAAGCCUGCUCAAGACCCAGUUGGUUCAGAGCUCAGGUUCAUGUGUCUUAGGAGAGGGUUCUAUUAGUCUGGAAAAUGAGUGCAGCCAGAAGACAAGAAACUGGCUGGGGGGGGGAUUGGGGGAAGGGAAGAUGACCGAGGAGCCCCCCCCCCUUCUCUCUACCCCAUCCCAUGAUUUCCUUUGUCUCCUGUCCCAAUCCCAACCCAUCUCCCCACCCCCAGCCUAUGAGCCUGGAGGCUUCCCAAUAAAACAGUAUUGUAACCUUAUCUAAGA